UACAGAGGGUGCGAGCGUUGUUCGGAAUUACUGGGCGUAAAGCGCGCGCAGGCGGCCUUUUAAGUCUGACGGUGAAAUGCCGGGGCUCAACCCCGUGCCCGCCGCGGAUACUGGGAGGCUGGAGACGAGUAGAGGCAAGCGGAAUUCCGGGUGUAGCGGUGGAAUGCGUAGAGAUCCGGAAGAACACCGGAGGCGAAGGCGGCUUGCUGGGCGUCGGUCUGACGCUGAGGCGCGAAAGCGUGGGGAGCGGAACCGGAUUAAGAAACCCGGGGUAGUAC
rnacentral:rRNA from 1 species